CCUACGGGAGGCAGCAGUGGGGAAUAUUGCGCAAUGGGCGGAAGCCUGACGCAGCGACGCCGCGUGGGGGAUGACGGCCUUCGGGUUGUAAACCUCUUUCAGCUCCGACGAAGCGGAAGUGACGGUAGGAGCAGAAGAAGCACCGGCCAACUACGUGCCAGCAGCCGCGGUAA
rnacentral:rRNA from 1 species